GACCAUGUGGCCUAAUGGACAAGGCGUCUGACUUCGGAUCAGAAGAUGGACGGUUCGAGUCCCUUCUUGGUUG
rnacentral:tRNA from 1 species